GAGUUUGAUCCUGGCUCAGAUUGAACGCUGGCGGAAUGCUUUACACAUGCAAGUCGAACGAUGAAGCCUAGCUUGCUAGGUGGAAGAGUGGCGGACGGGUGAGUAAUAUAUCGAAACGUAUCCAAUAAUGGGGGACAACUAGCCGAAAGGUUAGCUAAUACCGCAUACGCCCUGAGGGGGAAAGCUGGGGAUCUUCGGACCUGGCGUUAAUGGAGCGGUCGAUAUCUGAUUAGCUAGUUGGUAGGGUAAAGGCCUACCAAGGCGACGAUCAGUAGCUGGUCUGAGAGGACGACCAGCCACACUGGGACUGAGACGCGGCCCAGACUCCUACGGGAGGCAGCAGUGGGGAAUUUUGGACAAUGGGGGCAACCCUGAUCCAGCCAUUCCGCGUGAGUGAAGAAGGCCUUCGGGUUGUAAAGCUCUUUCGCAAGGGAAGAAACGACAUAAUUUAAUAGAUUAUGUUAAUGACGGUACCUUGACAAGAAGCACCGGCUAACUACGUGCCAGCAGCCGCGGUAAUACGUAGGGUGCAAGCGUUAAUCGGAAUUACUGGGCGUAAAGCGUGCGCAGGCUGUUUUGUAAGUCAGAUGUGAAAUCCCCGAGCUCAACUUGGGAACUGCGUUUGAAACUACAAGACUAGAAUAGGUUAGAGGGGGGUAGAAUUCCACGUGUAGCAGUGAAAUGCGUAGAUAUGUGGAGGAAUACCAAUGGCGAAGGCAGCCCCCUGGGAUCAUAUUGACGCUCAUGCACGAAAGCGUGGGGAGCAAACAGGAUUAGAU
rnacentral:rRNA from 1 species